GUCCAGACUCCUACGGGAGGCAGCAGUGGGGAAUAUUGCACAAUGGGGGAAACCCUGAUGCAGCGACGCCGCGUGAGUGAAGAAGUAUUUCGGUAUGUAAAGCUCUAUCAGCAGGGAAGAAAAUGACGGUACCUGACUAAGAAGCCCCGGCUAACUACGUGCCAGCAGCCGCGGUAAUACGUAGGGGGCAAGCGUUAUCCGGAUUUACUGGGUGUAAAGGGAGCGUAGACGGCAUGGCAAGUCAGAUGUGAAAGCCCGGGGCUCAACCCCGGGACUGCAUUUGAAACUGUCAGGCUGGAGUGCAGGAGAGGUAAGUGGAAUUCCUAGUGUAGCGGUGAAAUGCGUAGAUAUUAGGAGGAACACCAGUGGCGAAGGCGGCUUACUGGACUGUAACUGACGUUGAGGCUCGAAAGCGUGGGGAGCAAACAGGAUUAGAUACCCGGGUAA
rnacentral:rRNA from 1 species